rnacentral:misc_RNA from 1 species
AAGUCGUAACAAGGUUUCCGUAGGUGAACCUGCGGAAGGAUCAUUAAUGAAGAUUGUUGCUUGUGUUACCGCCAGGAGCUUUACCGGACCGAUGUAGGCUGGGAUUCAAAUCCGUACAGCUUGAAGGGCCGCUAGCACCCGGACACAAGCAACAGGCCUCAAAGGCCUUACUUCAACCACUUGUGAAUUUGUAAUUUAUAAUUUUACCAACUGACUGUUAACGAAGACUGAUUCAAAAACUUGUUGGUGUUUAAAGACACUAAUACAAUUAUUGAAACAACUUUUGGCAACGGAUCUCUUGGCUCUC